rnacentral:rRNA from 1 species
GACGAACCACACAAACAUUAUUCGGAAUUACUGGGCUUAAAGGGUGCGUAGGCUGCGCGGAAAGUUGGGUGUGAAAUACCUCGGCUCAACCGAGGAACUGCGCCCAAAACUACCGUGCUCGAGGAAGAUAGAGGUGAGCGGAACUUACGGUGGAGCGGUGAAAUGCGUUGAUAUCGUAAGGAACACCUGUGGCGAAAGCGGCUCACUGGGUCUUUUCUGACGCUGAUGCACGAAAGCUAGGGGAGCAAACGGG